ensembl:snRNA U6 U6 spliceosomal RNA
GUGCACUUCAGUGGCACAUAUACUAAAAUUGCAAUGAUGCAAAGAUUAGCAUGGACCCUGCACAAGGAUGACCAAAAAAUUAAAAAUAACUAAAAACAAGUC